AGAGCGAACGCUGGCGGCAGGCCUAACACAUGCAAGUCGAGCGCCCGUAGCAAUACGGGAGCGGCAGACGGGAUAGUAACACGUGGGAACGCGCCCUUCGGUUCGGAAUAACUCAGGGAAACUUGAGCUAAUACCGGAUACGCCCUUACGGGGAAAGAUUUAUUGCCGAAGGAACGGCCCGCGUCCGAUUAGCUAGUUGGUGAGGUAAUGGCUCACCAAGGCGACGAUCGGUAGCUGGUCUGAGAGGAUGACCAGCAUCACUGGAACUGAGACACGGUCCAGACUCCUACGGGAGGCAGCAGUGGGGAAUCUUGCACAAUGGACGAAAGUCUGAUGCAGCAACGCCGCGUGGGGGAUGAAGCUUUUCGGAGUGUAAACCCCUUUGACCCGGAAGAAGCCCGCAAGGGUUUGACGGUACGGGUAUAAGAAGCCCCGGCUAACUACGUGCCAGCAGCCGC
rnacentral:rRNA from 1 species